GGAGUAAAAGUCGUAACAAGGUUUCCGUAGGUGAACCUGCGGAAGGAUCAUUAAUGAGUUGUCAUGGGGUUCGAUGCUGGCAGCCAGUUUUUGGAUGCAUGUGCUUGCCCUAACAAUCAUCUUCUUCCAAACACCUGUGCACAUUUUUGAGGGAGUCUUGAGUUGGUUGCCGCUCUUGGGUGAUUUUCUCACAUUCCCUUAAAUCAUUAUACGCUAUUAACAAUGUUGAACGUGCUCUGUGCCGCAAGGCCAUUAAUAUAAUACAACUUUUAACAACGGAUCUCUUGGCUCUC
rnacentral:misc_RNA from 1 species